CAAACUGGUGAACCCUGGGCCACCAGAGCAAGGUGCCCAAAUUUAGCCACUACGCCACCAGGAGGCCGGAUAUGAGCGGAAGAGCCUUAAGUAUAUGUUUUCCCCAUAGAAACAAGAGCGGUUGUGACUUAGGCUAAUGGUAACGCUUGGGAGAAAGGAAGAAAGUCACAAAGCUACUGAAACAACGCAGUUCUGAAGCUCAAAGCAUCUAUACUCAGUCUGCCCCUUGUCUGUGAAGAACACACAAGUGGGCAGAGACUACGGGAUGUGCAGGAACCGCUCUGACUUCAGUGUGCGUUGCCUCCCUGGAUGGCCUGCGUGGCAAAUUUCGUUUGAGACCAGAGCCCUAAGGGGCACCGGCUUCUGGUGUGUUGGAGAUGGAGAAUUGGCCUCAUGGCUGCUCCUACUCGAUGUCAGCAACUCAACAUCUCGUCCUCUCUCGCAGCUCCUGGGCCGUCAGUAGACAGGAGAGUGGUCAGCACCAUGGUGAAUCUGAGAGACCGAGGUAAACACGGCCAUUGGGGCACCGUGCUCCCUCCAGCACGCCCCUGGUCCUGGUGGGCCCUUAAGGGAGAAUGCUUCCUAGCCGCCCCCAGGGGCGCAACUCCACCCCCGCUGUGCUCCUCGCAGGUCUUAGGAACAGGCGCCUUCCCUGCCGUUGUUCCUCCUGUAGAGUGUGCCUCCACGGCCUGUGAGGGAGAAAAGGCCCAAAGCCGAGCCCUGUGCUGCUCAGGACAUGGCCUCAGCUACAAAGACCAAGUAGGAACCUCAAAUUACUGCCCAUGAGGCCGAGGCCUUCCCGGCCCGCGAAGAUCUGAGGAGGGCGAGCAUCUCUCCCACCUUUCAGCAUGUGCGCCCGAGGCCGUCCUUGCUUUGGCAACCCUUCCAAUAUGCUUCCUGGGAGACAAGGCCGCCCUGGCUGUGGGGCCAGCUGCCUGCUGGCUGCAGGGCCUUUCCCUGCCCGACCUGGGGAGGGGAGAGGUUGCACUCAGCUGAACCUUGACCUCUCUCAGCAGCCCCAGCCCCUGAGUUCCAGGGCCAGGGCUUUCCCGCCCACCAGGCACCUCCACCAACGUGGGACCCACUGUCUUCAUACACAGAGCAGAGACACUGGAAACGUCUGAAGCUUCCAUGAGCUUUUUAAUCCUUUCUCUGCUCCCCGCUCCUUGAAAAGACAUCAUAAAAUGGCAGCAUUUCUGACAAAGCUUUCCAAUGGAUUCAGACUGAUAAGCCCCAAAAGGUGACCCUUCCAACUUACAUUCAUCAGAGUCGUUAAAUUGCAUGAUUAAACCAAAAAUCUAGUCAUCUUUUGCUGCUCAGAAACCAUCAAUGGCCCCCCUGCCUACAGGGCCAAGCCUGACAUCCCUGGUGGGGGAUGAGGCCCUUCACAGCUGCCCCAAGGGGCGUCCCAGGCCGUGUCCUCAGCCCCUGAGCCCCUCCCCCACCUUCCUGAAAGCACCGCCCCUCCACGCCUGCCCAGCAACCUGAGCUGGUCCCCGCCUCCUCUCUCAAGGCCCAAGUCAGAUAUGAGUGCCGCUGUGAGGCCCCCGUGACUCCCCCACCCCACAGACAGAUGCCUGCCUCCUCUGUGCUUCACGUCCUCGGUCCCUCCUGCCUCCUUCCUGCACAGCAGAGAGCGGCCCGGGCAACCACCCAGCAUCUCCAGUCAGAAGAUCUGCUUCUCGGCACUGCCCUGUGCUACCAGGAAACAGCUGUAAAACCACUCACCUUUCUUAGCCUGGGUUUUCCCCUCUGUAAGGCUCUUGAGAGGGAUAAGUAUAUGUGUGUACACACACCAUUAGAUGGAAGGGCACUCCAUACCUCUAAAGGACUAUACAAAUGUCAGCAUCAGGCCUUGUCAUCGUUGACACGGUGGCCACCUGGGUCCCUGGAGGAAGGUAACAACAUCCUAGUCAUCUCCAUACUCUCGCCCUGGCAGGUCUCUGGCACCUGGUAGGUGCCUCAUGAAUGUCUCCGAUGUUUGAUGAGUGGUUGGUAAAGGUCAGUACACCUCCUAGACCGUGGGGCUGGUGAAAUGCUCCCGUCGCACGAAGCGUUUCCCUCUAACUUGCCGGUUUGCUGGAUAAAGUUCAACGGACGCCACAGAAUAUGGAGCAUCAUCUACAAAUUCAGAGGCAGCCCUCUUCUCCGCCUUCAGCCUUGACAUUCAAGGACAGACACAGGGCUCCUGGAAGGAGACGCAGAGGCAAGGCUUCUGGGGGUGAGGGCGUUGCUCCCUCGCUCUCACAAAGGGCACUUCCUUAUCAGAGAAAGGAUGUGGAUGCCUGUGGACCCCCAGAGCGUGCCCGAGGUCAGAGGAGAGAGGGGCCUUCAUGUUAUGAUCGAGAGCACAGAACAAUACAACAGACCCUGUGUGAAGGGAGCUCCCUUCCCUCGUGAGGAGAAUGCAGAAAAGGACACCAACACCUGCUCAGAGAGAAAAAUGAGACUGGCGUCAGGAAUAGGAAAGACCAGAAAGGUGUGAGGGUAGAGACAGCGCCUGACAACUCCAUGGAAGGAGCAGAGGACUCGAGGAGCUCAUUCCUGACCCUCCUAUAAUCCAGAAGCAGCCACCCCAUGAUAUUUUGAGAAUUCCUGGGUACCUUCUUUCUUUGCCCCUUUUCUCUUUUUGCUAGCUGGAACAAUUUUCAGAAACUCCCAAAAAACAGUUUGAUUAGCAUGAAAAAGCUAGGUACUGAGUACAUGUUUGAAAUGUUCCAUAACAAAAAGUUUUUAAAGCUUUACAAAAAAAUUUUUACAAAAGUAAAUAGUCUAUUUCCUUUUAAGUAACUUUAUCUUAACUUAGACAUAUUAAAAUUAAAAUAAGUGAUAGGAAAGACAUACUAAGAUUAAAAAAAAACACUUGAGAUUGCUUUCAAAUGGCGACAGAGAUUUAUUUUCUGGUACCUUGAAAUGCAUUCAUCAGAAAUAGGGCAGGCUACUAUUAUUAGCAAUUGACAGGAAAGUUGUCGCUCAGAAGUAGCCAUAUUAAAGAUUUCAGACAUCUUAACACAACAGUUGGUGAUGAAUAAUGUCAAUUUGUUCAUUAUACCUAUGCACCUGAAAGUUCUAUUUUUUAUGCUAUAAAUUAGUUGACCCAAGUGUUUUUUUUAAUAGGUUUGUUUAAGAAGUAUAAACAGUUUUUAAAAGAGAACAGUGUAUACUACUUCUAUUAUUUGCAAAUUGCCUUGGAGAAAGACCGCUGCCCACCUCUGUUUGUGAAACUGAAAGGAUAGCGUAAGCGAGAGGAGGAGCCAGCGUGCAGGGAAGAGAAGUGACGCGAGCGGCCUCCCCUCCAGCAGCUCCAUCAGCAGCCAGUCCUCCCUCAUUUUCAAGUGGGGGUCACUGAGUGAAAGAACACAGUGACCCGGGCCACGGGGGCCCUCCUCCUCCUCCUCCAUCACUUCUCCCAGCCCCUUGCUCGGGUCCCUGUGAGCCCACAGGAGGCAGCCAGCCCACAGCGCCACAGUCCCUCCUGGUCUGCCCUCCCACUUCCCUGCGCUCCUCGUCCAGCCUGGAUACCAAUGUCCAUGCCCAGACACCCCAGACCCUGUGCCCCUCUCCUCCUGAAACAGUCCCAUCCCUGGAUGACCCCACACACGUCCUUGGCUGGCCGCAGCCGUCACUUCAUUUGCCUACUUUUUCGUCAUCUACCAUUAAUUCAUCUUCAAACUCUCCACAAGAAAUGCUCAUCUCCUCACGCCAAGUUCAAAAACACGAGGUAACCCAUCUGUUUCCUUCUUGGAGACAUCCGUCCUGGGCCUUGCUAGCCUCCUGCUUCAAUCUGGACCAAUGACUUUUCUAGACCUACUGCCCAGCUAGACACUUGUCAAUUUUAUUGGUCCUUUCCAAAACCAACAUUUUACUUUGUUGAUAAUAUUGAAUUUUUUGUUUUCUGUCUCUUUAAUUUCAGCUCUUUACUUUUUCUUCCUUCUGCUUUCCUUGAAUUUAUCCUGUUGUUAUCCUAAGCUCAUUAAUGUUCAGCCUUUUACUGUUGUUCUAAUAUAAGCAUUUAAGGUUAAAAAUGUCCUUUUGAUGGUAUCCUAUAAGCUUCGAUUUGCAGUGUUUAUUUGUAGGAUUUUUAUUAUCAUUCAGUUUAAAUUUUUUCUAAUUUGUUUUCUGAUUUCUUUUUGACUCAUGAAUUAUGUAGAAGUAUAUUUCCUGUUUCCCAAAUGCACGGGGGUUCUCUCUGUUUUUGUUAUUGAUUUCAACUUAAUUGCAUUAUGGUCAGAGAAUGUGGUCGAUAUGAGAAUUCUUAGAAAUUUGUUCAGACUUGCUUUAUGACCCACUACAUGGUCACUUUUCAUAAAUGGCUUAUACAUGCUUGAAAAGAAUAUGUAUUUCUUUUCAUUUGUUGAGAGCAAUGUCCCAUAGGUUGGCAUUAAACAAGUUUGUUAAUUCUGCUGUUCAAAUAUUUCCUGUCCUUACUUUUAAAAACUAUUUCACCUAUCAGUUAUUGAAAGGUAUUAAAGUGUCCUGCAUGAUUUCUAUUUCUGCUUUGUAGUUCUAUCAAGUUUUGCUGAAUAUAUUUUGCAUGAAUAGAAUGUUGUUGGUUGCAUAAAAGUUUAGAAUUGUGAUA